UAUGAGAAUUAAGGGAAAAUGAAACGUUGCUUCUUAAACAAGUGGAUUCAGGGAUGAAGUGUUGCUGGAGCUGGGCCUGCCUUAAGCUGGAUGCCACUAUAGAGGACCACACUGUGCGAAUGAGUGAUUGAUGCCAACUUCGCUUCUUAAGGGCAGUAUGGGUGUGUGUGUCCUGCUCCUGUUGCUCAGUGUGGCCCUCGGGGUCUCCAUCUCGGCCCAGGUACCACCUCCCACCCCCACAGGAGGUCCAGUCCCCACUGCCAAAUCCAAGGACCCUCCCGCCACCACCCUCCCCAAUGUUCCCUUGACAACAACCAUCGCCCCCCCCUCCUCCCCCUCAAACAACCACAGCCC
rnacentral:lncRNA from 1 species